GUAGUGGUGGUUCAGUGGCAGAAUUCUCACCUUUCAUGAGAGAGACAUAGGUUUGAUUCCCGGCCAAUGCA
rnacentral:tRNA from 1 species